rnacentral:rRNA from 1 species
UACGAAGGGUGCAAGCGUUGUUCGGAAUUACUGGGCGUAAAGGGCGCGUAGGCGGCCUUCUAAGUCGGACGUGAAAUCCCUCGGCUUAACCGAGGAACUGCGUCCGAUACUGAAAGGCUUGAAUCCGGGAGAGGGAUGUGGAAUUCCAGGUGUAGCGGUGAAAUGCGUAGAGAUCAUGAGGAAGACCAGUGGCGAAGGCGGGUCUCUGGACAGUUCCUGACACUGAGGCACGAAGGCCAGGGGAGCAAACGGG